AUUACAUGUAGCAGGCCCACUCAUAAAAUCACGACGAUGCCAGCGAGUUGAAUUUCAAUUUCAAUGCUGCUUUCGAAUUUCAGGGAAUAAUUGGCGUCAUAUAAUAUUGGUAUCAUCGCAGUCUAAGCUCGACUUUGAUUCAUGCGCAGCUGUUUGCAUCAAAUCAUCCAAGCUCGCUAAGAUUUUCAGUUUGCUCAUUUGCUUGGUAUAAAAUAGUGUUGCAUCAAGUAUGGCCAAGCACCACCCUGAUCUAAUUAUGUGCCGGAAGCAGCCGGGAAUAGCCAUUGGACGUCUUUGUGAGAAAUGUGAUGGCAAGUGUGUAAUUUGUGAUUCCUAUGUGCGGCCUUGCACUCUUGUGCGAGUUUGCGAUGAAUGCAACUAUGGAUCUUUUCAAGGUCGCUGUGUGAUUUGUGGAGGGCUGGGGAUUUCUGAUGCCUACUACUGCAAAGAGUGUACACAGCAGGAAAAAGAUCGUGAUGGUUGCCCCAAAAUUGUCAAUCUUGGGAGUGCCAAGACAGAUCUUUUCUACGAGCGUAAAAAAUAUGGUUUCAAGAAAAGAUGAUUGAUGAUGGAUGUAAUGGUGGCAAAGGCACGUUUGAAAUUUUGUUGUGGUCCAUCUGUUUUCCGGUGUUUAGCCUAAAUUGUAUGUUGCUAAGAUCCAAAAGAGAUAACGAUGUGUUUCCCUAACUCUGAUGUUACUCGAGCCUUUGUUUUCGUUUGUGUUUUUAGUUGUUUUUGCAGCUGAGAAUGUGAUUUUUGCAGUAUCAAACUGAUCCCUUUAGUGAUCCUCACAACAAAAUUCUGAAACAGAAAUUUUAAAAAUAAAUAGAGUUUUUGUUUCCA